rnacentral:rRNA from 1 species
GACGAACGCUGGCGGCGUGCUUAACACAUGCAAGUCGAACGGAAAGGCCCUGCUUUUGUGGGGUGCUCGAGUGGCGAACGGGUGAGUAACACGUGAGUAACCUGCCCUUGACUUUGGGAUAACUUCAGGAAACUGGGGCUAAUACCGGAUAGGAGCUCCUGCUGCAUGGUGGGGGUUGGAAAGUUUCGGCGGUUGGGGAUGGACUCGCGGCUUAUCAGCUUGUUGGUGGGGUAGUGGCUUACCAAGGCUUUGACGGGUAGCCGGCCUGAGAGGGUGACCGGCAAAAUUGGGCCUGAGAACGGGCCCAGACUCAUCGGGGGGAAAGAGGGGGGGAAUUUGGCACAGGGGCGGAAGGCCUGAGGCAGCAACCCCGGGGGGGGGAGGACGGCUUUGGGUUUGUAAACCGUUUCCGCCUGGCACGAGGGGGGGGGGAGGGUAGGGGAUAAAAAAGACCGGGCAAACUACGUC